rnacentral:rRNA from 1 species
UACGGGGGGAGCAAGCGUUGUUCGGAUUUACUGGGCGUAAAGGGCGCGUAGGCGGCCACUGCAAGUCGGUUGUGAAAUCUCCGGGCUUAACCCGGAAAGGUCAACUGAUACUGUGCGACUAGAGUGCGGAAGGGGCAACUGGAAUUCUUGGUGUAGCGGUGAAAUGCGUAGAUAUCAAGAGGAACACCUGCGGCGAAGGCGGGUUGCUGGGCCGACACUGACGCUGAGGCGCGAAAGCUAGGGGAGCGAACGGG